rnacentral:lncRNA from 1 species
GGAGCAGGAGUUAUUGUUGGCCCUAAAAGCUGAAGAUGAAUCAGGGUGCCUCAUUAGAACACAACAGAGUGGAAUAAAUGUCGCAUCCGUGAAGAGGCACUGAGUUCAAUAUCUGGUUCCUGCAUCAUUUGCCUUUUGAAUGGGAGAGAAAGGGGCAGCUUUUGCAAGGCCUGGUCCAUGUGAAAGAGGUGCCCAGAAUAAGGGUGGAGAAAGGAAGCAACUUUAUACACAACUAUGAAGCAGAGAAGAAGGUGGAAUGUGAAUUGUUCUGACGGUGUUAAAUGGUAGGACGUUAUUAAUCUGGGGAAAAUAAAGGUGACAAGUUGUAACUUUGCAUGACAUUUGAAAGCACUGCUAAAGGAGGAUGUAGCAGGCUGCCUGGAAAGUCACCAGCACUUUGAAAACAGUGGCUGCCCAAGUUCUUGACUGUGUUGUCAUACAGGUACCUCACUCAAAGGGUGGGUGCCAAACU